CUACUUAAUAUAAUAUUUGUCUUUAAAUUAUAAUUUCAAUUGUAAAUAUUAAUUCAUGGAAAUAUGUAUAUUAUACAUAUUAUUAGUUUACGGAAAGUUUGUGGCCUAAUGAUGAGGCCGUGAGUUAGGAGUGAGCAUUAAAAUGUGCAACAUUAUAACAAAAUGUAUUAUAAUAGGGAUCUCAGUCCUAAACCUUGUAUCAGAAUUGUGUAAGCUUAAGUAAAAAAUACACAACAUCUAUUGGAAUUAGGUCAUUUGAUGGUUUCGUAAUGAAUUGAAAUUUAAUUAUUAUAUUAUUAUUUAGAAUUAUUGCCUAUUAACCUGAUAAAAAACAAUACUCAUAAUACCUGUUGACAACGUAAUAAGUAUUCGUUGAAUCACAACACAGGAUUACUAAAUAUUCGCCACAGCAUUGAAUAUGACGUCAAAUCGGACGGUGGUUAAUCACACUUACUUUUUAAUUAUAAUAAUAAACAUUGAUGUGCUGUUAUUAGGACAGUGUGUUAAAAAUGAUUUCUCGAACAAUACCUAGCAAAUAAAAAUCUCAGGUUUGUUAGGACUGAUUUUCAAGCAACAAAUGGUCACUAGUCCCUGGCGGAAAGGUGUCUCCAUUUAAAGAUGUCUAUUGAGCUCUAUUCAAUGUUAUUACAAACAAUGUUUUCCGUCUAAUAGUUAUGCCUGAUUUUAAUCGAAAUGAAUGGUGCAUUUUAAACAGAUCAUUACCGUAAAGGACUUUCGCUAUAGAUUAUAGAGAGAUGCGAGAUGAUUUCUACACAAGACUUUGUUGCAAGUUAUAUAAUAGUGUUUCAAAAGCACUUUGUUGUAAAUUUUGAGAUAUCGAUGCCUACUACAAUUUAAGACAAUUAAUUUAUUCGUUGUGGUAAAUGCAGGACGGUAAAUGAGUACAAGAUUACCUUCUUAAACUAAAAGAAUAUUUUCUAAUAGUUCUAUCAGGAAUCAAAUAUUAUAUAUUAUUAUUAUAUUCCAUUUAAUCAUUACUAUUCUAUUUAAAUUGAUUGCGGCAAACUUCUAGUAUGUAUAUUUGAAAUAAGUUCGGUUAAUCAAAUUUAGAUAAUAUUGACGUUCUCCUAAAUAUUUAUUUUCCAACUGAGACUGUGGUUCAAAUGUACGAACUUUUCUAGAGCAUAGAGGUACUUAAGGAUCUUAUCGUAUUAUGAUUUUGAUGUCUAUGAAGUAGCUGAGAAACUCGCGAUGCAGAGAUUAUCACGAGUUUAUCAAAAUUUUUAUCUAGAAAAUUCCGGUUGAACCGUGUCAAGAUCUAAAUUACUUGUACUGUCAUCACAUAGACACAAUACCUUAAAGUAUCCAACCAGAGCUAUGUUAUUUCACGACAUCAUAAAAUUCA